GACACACAUGAAAGCGGUGAUGAUCAGCGGCGUCAUGCAGCUACAAUUGUUGGGGGGCACAGUCAAAAAGCAAGUACUUCUGUUAUCAAUGCAGCCAGCAGACAGAUCUCUUCUCUUGGGUCACUGAACCGAACCAGCUCAGAACCGAACCUACACCUGCUCCGGGCUACAGUGUAAAUUCCAGAAAAAAAGAAUAACGCGGCGAUGGGCAACGCAGAAUCGGACCGCCGUGAGCAGGAGGCGCAAAAGAUCAUCAACUUCAUCCCAGGAGUCAACUUGGCUUACAACGCCACCCGCAGCGCCGUGUACGCCGCGAAGGGAGACGGGCCGGAGGUGGCCAGGAGUGGCAUCGCGGUAGUCGGGGGUGCUGGCUGGGGGGCCGGCUGGUGGGGUGUUAGCCACAGUCGGGGCAGCGGCCCUUGAUGAUGUACUAAAGAAUAAGGACUAAGAAGAGAGGUUAAGGGAGAGGGGAGCACAACGCUGUGAGAGGAGGGUGACCCCACACUCCCACUUUCUUCUCCUCACACCACACCCAUGUCCUAAUAUAUGAACACAAUAUGCAAUGUCUGUACUUAUGUGACGUGUUUAGAGAAUAUUUCAAUAAAAUAAGUUGCCUUCUUUUGGAGUGGUGUGUUUUGAAACAAUGGUCCUAUUAGGUUGGGUAUUAGUUCAG